rnacentral:rRNA from 1 species
UUAUCACGGGAGACACACGGCGGGUGCUAACGUCCGUCGUGAAGAGGGAAACAACCCAGACCGCCAGCUAAGGUCCCAAAGUCAUGGUUAAGUGGGAAACGAUGUGGGAAGGCCCAGACAGCCAGGAUGUUGGCUUAGAAGCAGCCAUCAUUUAAAGAAAGCGUAAUAGCUCACUGGUCGAGUCGGCCUGCGCGGAAGAUGUAACGGGGCUAAACCAUGCACCGAAGCUGCGGCAGCGACACUAUGUGUUGUUGGGUAGGGGAGCGUUCUGUAAGCCUGCGAAGGUGUGCUGUGAGGCAUGCUGGAGGUAUCAGAAGUGCGAAUGCUGACAUAAGUAACGAUAAAGCGGGUGAAAAGCCCGCUCGCCGGAAGACCAAGGGUUCCUGUCCAACGUUAAUCGGGGCAGGGUGAGUCGACCCCUAAGGCGAGGCCGAAAGGCGUAGUCGAUGGGAAACAGGUUAAUAUUCCUGUACUUGGUGUUACUGCGAAGGGGGGACGGAGAAGGCUAUGUUGGCCGGGCGACGGUUGUCCCGGUUUAAGCGUGUAGGCUGGUUUUCCAGGCAAAUCCGGAAAAUCAAGGCUGAGGCGUGAUGACGAGGCACUACGGUGCUGAAGCAACAAAUGCCCUGCUUCCAGGAAAAGCCUCUAAGCAUCAGGUAACAUCAAAUCGUACCCCAAACCGACACAGGUGGUCAGGUAGAGAAUACCAAGGCGCUUGAGAGAACUCGGGUGAAGGAACUAGGCAAAAUGGUGCCGUAACUUCGGGAGAAGGCACGCUGAUAUGUAGGUGAAGUCCCUCGCGGAUGGAGCUGAAAUCAGUCGAAGAUACCAGCUGGCUGCAACUGUUUAUUAAAAACACAGCACUGUGCAAACACGAAAGUGGACGUAUACGGUGUGACGCCUGCCCGGUGCCGGAAGGUUAAUUGAUGGGGUCAGCGCAAGCGAAGCUCUUGAUCGAAGCCCCGGUAAACGGCGGCCGUAACUAUAACGGUCCUAAGGUAGCGAAAUUCCUUGUCGGGUAAGUUCCGACCUGCACGAAUGGCGUAAUGAUGGCCAGGCUGUCUCCACCCGAGACUCAGUGAAAUUGAACUCGCUGUGAAGAUGCAGUGUACCCGCGGCAAGACGGAAAGACCCCGUGAACCUUUACUAUAGCUUGACACUGAACAUUGAGCCUUGAUGUGUAGGAUAGGUGGGAGGCUUUGAAGUGUGGACGCCAGUCUGCAUGGAGCCGACCUUGAAAUACCACCCUUUAAUGUUUGAUGUUCUAACGUUGACCCGUAAUCCGGGUUGCGGACAGUGUCUGGUGGGUAGUUUGACUGGGGCGGUCUCCUCCUAAAGAGUAACGGAGGAGCACGAAGGUUGGCUAAUCCUGGUCGGACAUCAGGAGGUUAGUGCAAUGGCAUAAGCCAGCUUGACUGCGAGCGUGACGGCGCGAGCAGGUGCGAAAGCAGGUCAUAGUGAUCCGGUGGUUCUGAAUGGAAGGGCCAUCGCUCAACGGAUAAAAGGUACUCCGGGGAUAACAGGCUGAUACCGCCCAAGAGUUCAUAUCGACGGCGGUGUUUGGCACCUCGAUGUCGGCUCAUCACAUCCUGGGGCUGAAGUAGGUCCCAAGGGUAUGGCUGUUCGCCAUUUAAAGUGGUACGCGAGCUGGGUUUAGAACGUCGUGAGACAGUUCGGUCCCUAUCUGCCGUGGGCGCUGGAGAACUGAGGGGGGCUGCUCCUAGUACGAGAGGACCGGAGUGGACGCAUCACUGGUGUUCGGGUUGUCAUGCCAAUGGCACUGCCCGGUAGCUAAAUGCGGAAGAGAUAAGUGCUGAAAGCAUCUAAGCACGAAACUUGCCCCGAGAUGAGUUCUCCCUGACUCCUUGAGAGUCCUGAAGGAACGUUGAAGACGACGACGUUGAUAGGCCGGGUGUGUAAGCGCAGCGAUGCGUUGAGCUAACCGGUACUAAUGAACCGUGAGGCUUAACCUU